rnacentral:sRNA from 1 species
ACUCAACACUUAUAUUUUUGAAAAGGGUGAGUUUAGGCUGUAAAAGCAAGCCCUACUUGUAUAGGGAUCCUUGAUCAGUCUGUUAGCCCUAAACCUGUUUACAGGAGUUC